CCUCACGUUGCCUCCCUCUCCCCCAUUGCAGAGAAUAGUAUUCCCCUUCGAAUCCUCUAUGAGAGGUAUGGGGACUGUCUGACUGAGUCGAACCUCAUCAAGGUUCGAGGCCUCCUCAUCGAGCCGGCUGCCGACAGCUACCUGCUGGCAGAGAGAGACCUCUACCUGGAGAAUCCAGAAAUCAAGAUCCGGGUCCUAGGGGAGCCCAAGCAGAACCGCAAGCUGGUGGCUGAGGUGUCGCUCCGGAACCCACUCUCAGAGCCCCUGUUCGACUGCAUCUUCACUGUGGAGGGGGCCGGCCUAACCAA